GGUUAAGCGACUAAGCGUACACGGUGGAUGCCCUGGCAGUCAGAGGCGAUGAAGGACGUGCUAAUCUGCGAAAAGCGUCGGUAAGGUGAUAUGAACCGUUAUAACCGGCGAUGUCCGAAUGGGGAAACCCAGUGUGAUUCGUCACACUAUCGUUAACUGAAUACAUAGGUUAACGAGGCGAACCGGGGGAACUGAAACAUCUAAGUACCCCGAGGAAAAGAAAUCAACCGAGAUUCCCCCAGUAGCGGCGAGCGAACGGGGAGCAGCCCAGAGUCUGAAUCAGCUUGUGUGUUAGUGGAACGGUCUGGAAAGUCCGACGGUACAGGGUGAUAGUCCCGUACACCAAAAUGCACAGGCUGUGAACUCGAAGAGUAGGGCGGGACACGUGGUAUCCUGUCUGAAUAUGGGGGGACCAUCCUCCAAGGCUAAAUACUCCUGACUGACCGAUAGUGAACCAGUACCGUGAGGGAAAGGCGAAAAGAACCCCGGCGAGGGG
rnacentral:rRNA from 1 species